rnacentral:rRNA from 2 species
AUGCAAGUCGAACGAACUCUGGUAUUGAUUGGUGCUUGCAUCAUGAUUUACAUUUGAGUGAGUGGCGAACUGGUGAGUAACACGUGGGAAACCUGCCCAGAAGCGGGGGAUAACACCUGGAAACAGAUGCUAAUACCGCAUAACAACUUGGACCGCAUGGUCCGAGUUUGAAAGAUGGCUUCGGCUAUCACUUUUGGAUGGUCCCGCGGCGUAUUAGCUAGAUGGUGGGGUAACGGCUCACCAUGGCAAUGAUACGUAGCCGACCUGAGAGGGUAAUCGGCCACAUUGGGACUGAGACACGGCCCAAACUCCUACGGGAGGCAGCAGUAGGGAAUCUUCCACAAUGGACGAAAGUCUGAUGGAGCAACGCCGCGUGAGUGAAGAAGGGUUUCGGCUCGUAAAACUCUGUUGUUAAAGAAGAACAUAUCUGAGAGUAACUGUUCAGGUAUUGACGGUAUUUAACCAGAAAGCCACGGCUAACUACGUGCCAGCAGCCGCGGUAAUACGUAGGUGGCAAGCGUUGUCCGGAUUUAUUGGGCGUAAAGCGAGCGCAGGCGGUUUUUUAAGUCUGAUGUGAAAGCCUUCGGCUCAACCGAAGAAGUGCAUCGGAAACUGGGAAACUUGAGUGCAGAAGAGGACAGUGGAACUCCAUGUGUAGCGGUGAAAUGCGUAGAUAUAUGGAAGAACACCAGUGGCGAAGGCGGCUGUCUGGUCUGUAACUGACGCUGAGGCUCGAAAGUAUGGGUAGCAAACAGGAUUAGAUACCCUGGUAGUCCAUACCGUAAACGAUGAAUGCUAAGUGUUGGAGGGUUUCCGCCCUUCAGUGCUGCAGCUAACGCAUUAAGCAUUCCGCCUGGGGAGUACGGCCGCAAGGCUGAAACUCAAAGGAAUUGACGGGGGCCCGCACAAGCGGUGGAGCAUGUGGUUUAAUUCGAAGCUACGCGAAGAACCUUACCAGGUCUUGACAUACUAUGCAAAUCUAAGAGAUUAGACGUUCCCUUCGGGGACAUGGAUACAGGUGGUGCAUGGUUGUCGUCAGCUCGUGUCGUGAGAUGUUGGGUUAAGUCCCGCAACGAGCGCAACCCUUAUUAUCAGUUGCCAGCAUUAAGUUGGGCACUCUGGUGAGACUGCCGGUGACAAACCGGAGGAAGGUGGGGAUGACGUCAAAUCAUCAUGCCCCUUAUGACCUGGGCUACACACGUGCUACAAUGGAUGGUACAACGAGUUGCGAACUCGCGAGAGUAAGCUAAUCUCUUAAAGCCAUUCUCAGUUCGGAUUGUAGGCUGCAACUCGCCUACAUGAAGUCGGAAUCGCUAGUAAUCGCGGAUCAGCAUGCCGCGGUGAAUACGUUCCCGGGCCUUGUACACACCGCCCGUCACACCAUGAGAGUUUGUAACACCCAAAGUCGGUGGGGUAACCUUUUAGGAACCAGCC